AAUGUCUUAUAAUUAUUGAGCUUAUAAGAUGGCUAAAUCCACACAUUUAGAUUUGUAUACUAUCCCAGAACCUAUCUACAGUCAAGUUCAGUUUUGGAAAUGAAAUGUUGACUCUUUUCUGAACUUCAGUUCUUAAAAUUCUUCAUUUAGAGCUGUCCAGGUGUAUCAGUCUUUAGAUCAUCAGUAAAACCCACAAAAAACUGACUAUCAUUUGUCAUUAUGAAAUAGUGAUUGUGGUAGAAAAGAUCCCUUAGCUGUGCAGGGAUGCCCUGGUGGUAGAAAUCUAUACAGAAGGUCCAGAUGAAGCUUUGGGGACUGAGGAUGUGGGUCGGUAGCAGGGCACUUGCAGAGCAUGUGAAGCCCUGGGUUCAAUCCCUAGAACUUCCAAAAAAAAAAAAAAAAAAAAGGAAGAAGAAGAAACAACUUUGGAGAAAGAAUUUAAGCCAGAAACGUUAUGUCUUCAUGGGCAGAGGAGACACGUGGGAGAUGUGGGAAGCGGACCUCUUGCUCCUUUCUCUAGUCAUUGCCCUGCUGUUUUUAGUGGUCUUCAGCUAUUUCAGGGCCCAGAAAAUCGAUCAUUGUAACUGUAAUUUGCAAGCUUUUAUCUACUAUUUUUAGGAUUUCCAGUUUUAAUGGGCUAUUUGUUAAUGAAUAAUUUAAUUUCUUCCAGGAAUGCAAGUUAAUGAAGCCUCAGUUAAUGGCUUUGGGUACUGAGUGCUGGUAAAAACUUGUUUCUUAUGGUAAUGCUUUAAAAAUUGCUUGACAACUCUUAUAGUUAUGGGAAAUAGAGGAGGAAGAAUGGUUAGAAGAGGUUGUUGUCAUGCUCCAGCCUGACUGAGGUUCUUACAAGAACAACUUUGUCUGUAACUUUUGAAGGAAGAUGUGGAGAAAGAAAGUGUUAUUGGGGGAAGUAGGCGUUUUUGGAGCCUACUUAUUACCUGGAAUCUAUCUUUAUCUAUAUAUAUCUGUGGUCUUUA
rnacentral:lncRNA from 1 species